GGGGCUAUCGCCAAGCGGUAAGGCACAGGCCUUUGACGCCUGCACUCGUUGGUUCGAAUCCAACUGGCCCUG
rnacentral:tRNA from 1 species